rnacentral:lncRNA from 1 species
GCCAAGUGCAGCAGCAUUGGAUUCUCUUUGUCCUACUUCCAUCUCUGUGUAAAUUCUCUGAAUCUGCAGGCUACGUAUUGUACAUGAGCUUUAGCCUGCCUUGGGCCACUUGGUGAGGUUGGCACCAAUGGCUGCUGGACUCUGUGCAUCAUCUGUGCCAUCAUCGCAUAUUGCAUCUUAGUCCUAGUGCUCCCCUGGUGCAUGUGUCAGCCUCUCACCAUGCUCUGGUUGUGCCUGGGGCAGUCAGGGGGGGAGGUAGGGUCCACACUGGAGGGUAUCACACCAAGCUAGCACCUACUCUUUCCUCACCAGCUUUGCUAUUCUUCAAUGCAAAGCCUAUUUUGGGAGAUGAGCGAUGUUUUUUUCACUCCAUGCCCUUAUGCAAUCUCACAACACCUAGUUCAGGCCAUGUGGGAGCCUGACACUGGGAUGUGCUGGUUGCAGGGCAGGAGCCGGUGCCUCUGCUGAGCAGGAUGCCCAUAGCUACAGCAGUAGCACUGGUCGUUGGACUCCUGGCACUAGGGAUUUUACUGCUGUUUGUGAUCUUCAGGUCAGUAUGUGCCCCCCUUCUGCUGCUCUCUGUGAGGCAUCAGCAUCUUGCACUGCCAGGGAGUGCACAAGCAGACCCUGAGAUAAAGCAAGGUGGGACACUGGGCUGUUACACAGGGAACAGCCUCUCCUCUCCUUCUCUCUUCUGCUGGUCUAUGGACCUGACUUGCUGUUUUGCAGGCGGAAGUUCCACAGUUCAAAAACCUCGGAGACCAGCAGCACUAUCCCCCUGAGAAGAUACCAAGGAGGUGUGAGCAAGAUGAACACGCAGAUCCCGGUGGAGGCGCUGCUGGAGGCUCUGAAGAGGUUUAAGAGGGCAGAAAUAGAGGCAGAGCAGACAGAGGACGAAUCAGUCGAUACUCAUGGUGCUGGGCGUCUGGGGGAGUACCAGGUCUGGUCUAGUUUUGCUUUACCACCUGCCUUCCUUGGGAAUGACAUGUGGUUGGCCAGAACUCAUGCCAAUGCAAAGUGGGCUUUUCUUCCUCUGCAGCAACUCUCCUCCAGUUUGUUGCAUCCCUGCGAUGCCGGGAAGGAGCUAUGUAAUCAGAGCAAGAACCGCUACAAGAGCAUCAUCCCAUAUGAUCACUGCCGUGUGGUGCUGCAGCCCUCUGACACAGGGAAUGGCUAUAUCAAUGCCAGCUACGUGGAUGUAGGUAUUGGGGAAUUGCUGCCCUGAGCAGGGUAGAGGAGCCUGGGGAGGGUAGCGGUGCUAACAAAAAGGGGCCUGUGUGAGGGGACAGGAGCCAAGAUACAGCCUCUGGGUACCCACUGUCCAUGUUAGCAGGAGUGGUGCUGUGACACAGUGUGCCAAGGCCCUGGGCUCUGAUGCCUGUGGGAAUGUGUCCUUCGUUUCAUUCCCUGUUAAACAUUAAACCCAUGUGAUUGGAGAUGUUUUAACCUCUCCUCCACAGAGCUACCGGAGUCCACGCUUCUUCAUUGCAGCUCAAGGUGGGUGCUCCCAGCCCUCAUCUCAGGAGAUGCCAGUCAAUGG